UCUGGACUUUUAUUUUGAAGUUCAGCAACUAACCUGUACAGGAAGCUGUAGUCUUCACUGCGCUGACUUCACACUUUUGAACAAGAUGGACUCUAGCAGAAAAUACGUAUUUUGGCAGUUGUUGCGUUCAGAUUCAGCUUCGGUUACACAGAGCAGGUGAAGAGAAAUUUGAAGGAGUUGGAAGAGAGCCAUCGACCUGCAGGAACGAUGCCACGAAAAAACAAAAGAAGCAGGGCUCAGGCGCAAAGAUGGCUGCAUCGUGCAGCGUUGCAGCAGCUGUUGGUGGCUAAAGAAGAGAUUCCCCCUGAGCAGCAGGAGUGUAGCUCCAGUGUGGACCAGCAGGAGUCAGAGCCCCCCCCACACAUUAAAGAGGAACUGUGGAGCAGUCA